AGAGUUUGAUCCUGGCUCAGAUUGAACGCUGGCGGAAUGCUUUACACAUGCAAGUCGAACGGCAGCACGGGUGCUUGCACCUGGUGGCGAGUGGCGAACGGGUGAGUAAUGCGUCGGAACGUACCGAGUAAUGGGGGAUAACGCAGCGAAAGUUGUGCUAAUACCGCAUACGCCCUGAGGGGGAAAGUGGGGGAUCGCAAGACCUCACGUUAUUCGAGCGGCCGACGUCUGAUUAGCUAGUUGGUGGGGUAAAGGCCUACCAAGGCGACGAUCAGUAGCGGGUCUGAGAGGAUGAUCCGCCACACUGGGACUGAGACACGGCCCAGACUCCUACGGGAGGCAGCAGUGGGGAAUUUUGGACAAUGGGGGCAACCCUGAUCCAGCCAUUCCGCGUGAGUGAAGAAGGCCUUCGGGUUGUAAAGCUCUUUCAGCUGGAACGAAACGGUGCGCUCUAACAUAGCGUGCUAAUGACGGUACCAGCAGAAGAAGCACCGGCA
rnacentral:rRNA from 1 species